rnacentral:rRNA from 1 species
CCUACGGGAGGCAGCAGUGAGGAAUAUUGGUCAAUGGGCGGAAGCCUGAACCAGCCAAGUAGCGUGCAGGAUGACGGCCCUACGGGUUGUAAACUGCUUUUAUACGGGAAUAACGCGCCUUACGUGUAGGGCUUUGCAUGUACCGUAUGAAUAAGGACCGGCUAAUCCCGUGCCAGCAGCCGGGGUAAUACGGAAGGUCCGGGCGUUACCCGGAUUUAUUGGGUUUAACGGGAGCGUAGGCCGCAUGUCAAGCGUGCUGUGAAGUGUCCGGGCUCAACCCGGGCCUUGCAGCGCGAACUGGCGGGCUUGAGUCCGCGGAAGGCAGGCGGAAUUCGUCGUGUAGCGGUGAAAUGCGUAGAUAUGACGAAGAACCCCGAUGGCGAAGGCAGCUUGCUGCAGCGGAACUGACGCUGAUACGCGAAAGCGCGGGUAUCGAACAGGAUUAGAUACCCUGGUAGUC